GUGGAGUGUGCUGAGUAAUAAUGAAACUCAUCUGAUUCUGAAUCAUCUGGUGCCUUCAGACUGGAAAAGGCAGAAGGCAGGUGAGACCAGGUUGAACACUGGCCGAAUCCAGGGGAUGACUUUGAAAAACAAGAAUCCAUUUCCUCAUUUCAGAUUCUCCACCACACUGAAUGGGAGGUCGGCAGGUAUCAUCCUCCCUGUUUUACAAGAUGCUUUUGCCCAGAGAGGCACGUUGGAGCCAUUGCUGGAACCAGCCUUGGGCAAAGGAGUCAGAAGUCAGCACCCCAGGAGCCCCAAACAGAGAGGGUGGAUUUUUUCACACCCAAAUGGAGUCUUCCUUUCUGGAGGCUCAGGAGAGAAGGACCUCACUACGGGUCACUGCUGUUUGUUGAGCACACGCUGGUGCCACGCUGGGCGAAUUGCUUGUUAUCUCUGUACAGGUUUACGAUCACUCAGCGGACCGGACGAAGAAACUGGCACAGAAAGGUUCAGUCACUUGAGCAAGGCACCCAGCUAGCUAGCUAGCUAGUUAAGUGUUGCUGGUAGGAUCUGAACCCAGAUCUACUGACGUAUAGACUCUUAACCUUAUACUUCAAGGCAAAGAAAAUCCCAGGGGUGCCGAGGAGACGCUGUCGAGAUGUCCCCGAAACCGCGCGGCACAGAGAAGCCCACCGACAACCCCGGGUGGGCGUCUCGCGCACUUCGGACCUCCGGGGGCGGGGCGGGGGCGACCCGGGCCCCGCCCUCAUUUCCCGUCGCCUCGGCCCCGCCCCGCGCCCCGCCCCGCGCCCCGCCCCGCCCGCUCCGGCCGCGCUCGGCUCCGCCCCCGCGGGCAGCGCGGGCUUCCCAUUGGCCGCCGUUUCCAUGGUUACGCGGGGCCGGUGGCGCUGCAGACUUCCCGACACGUGUCCCCCGGAGCCGCCCGGAAUUUGACAGGGGACCAUGUGCGCGGCAGCGCGGGAGCCAGACAAAGGGCCGGGGGAGGCGGGGAACGAAGCCGGCGGAGAGGCCGGGUGGCCGGGCAGGGAUGAGCCGCCUGCUUCUCCCGCGAGCUGGAGCAGUCCCCCACCUCCUGCCUUUUUUUUUGUAUUUUGAAGGAAAGAAAAAAUAAACAAGAAUUGCUGUGGAAAGCGAGGAGGGAGACGUUUCCAGCCAGUCCCACCUGCUCUCCCUCCUCCAGGGAAAACUGGGAAGCGGAAGCUUAACAGUGCGGUUGUUUUGAUGCUGCAGAAAUGCGACCCAAGGAAUUGUGGGGGAUCUUGCUACCCCCGUUCAUCCUACAACAGCGACCUCACUCCAGUAGCGACCAUGUGUCGAGGCUGCCCGUGUGGCUUGGCUGGAGGCUCCCUUUCAUCUGCAAAGCCAGGAGAGGCCCACUGAGCCUUUCCUCAUCCUGGACACCAACUCUUCUUCCCUCUUCCAUUAUUUAAGAAUGCUUAUGAUUACCAUCGCCACCCGGAUAAUCCAGAAUAAUCUCUCCAUCCCCAAGUUAGCUGGAUGUGCCGGCAGGAGGUUCCUCUUCAAGAGUAAGGGAGGGGCCCGGGGAAGCUAGCGGUCACCAGGGACAGCACUUCCGCUUCCGUUGGGGGAGAUGAGAAAGUUCUGGAGCCGGAUGGUGAUGUCGGCUGGACAAUGGUGUGAAUGUACUUGAUGCCCUGAGCUGUCCGCUUCAAAGCGGCUCAAAGGUGAACUUUUUAUGCGACGUGUAUUUGACGGCAAUAAGAGGCGUUUGCUGACUUUUUGAACGCCAGCUGCCCCCUGCACACUUGACAUUGCUCAAGGCUCCCGGGGGGCCGCACGCGUCCUCAUUUCUCUGUGGGAACGACGUCCAGGAGGGUGGCAGCCACCCCCUCGGCAGAUGAAGAGACUGAGGCAUGGAGGCCGGAAGUGGUGACUCUGCAUUUCAACCCGAUAUGCCUCUAGGGGGAAGGUGCAGUGUGGCCCGGGGUUAGGUGUUCGGGCUCAAAACGGGUCUGCCCUUCACUGUCGCACGGCCUUGGGCUUCCCGCUGCUGGCUUUCCUCUUCAGACAACUGGGGACAAUGACAGUGUCCUCUCCGGUCCAGCGACAGCAUUUGGCGAGAUGGUAUUGGAAGGAUUUAGCACGAUAGCUUGGCCACCAUCAAAAAUCAGAUCCCCUCCGGAGUCGGCUGAUGCUCCCUCUUGGUGCUACGGUGGACGGUGGGCAUCCCCUUCACCUUGACAAUGCACCGCCUUGGCGGGAGGACGGUGAGGGACAAUUCACGCGCAUAGCUGGAUGAAGAGUGUCCAGCAGAGGAAAGAUUUCUCCACUCAGUGGUGAGUUACGGUCACGCGUCCAGUCUUAGAGCAGCUUGGAGCUUGGCCACUAUUUGAGCCAGUGCAGAGUAGGUGUUCAAAGCCAUGGAUUUGGGGGUCAUGAACUACUGGGACCUCACCAAAAUAAAAAGCUUCUGCACAAUGAAGGAAACAAUCAGCAAAACUACAAG